GUUGAUUUAUGAGCUCAUUUUUUGCUAUUUUUGGGUGCUAUUUCCCAUAUGAUUUUUGUAGAAAAUGAUACAUUUUGCUUUGAUAUUUUGCGAGUGUCCAAGUCCACAAUAUGUAGAGUGUCCCCUUCCUUUUAUGGAGUUAUGGUCUAAUAGCCAAAGAGGAAAAAGAACAUCAAGAAGGAAAAGAUCUAUGUGGUAUUGAGGAUUCUCAUCAAAUUAAAAUGGAUACUCUCUCCUAAUAGAAAAGUUAACGAACAAUUAAUCAUGAGGGAACUUCAUGGCAUUUGUAGCCUAACUUGAAUAAGUUUCUUGGAUUGGCUUGACCUAAAUAGAAGGAAGCUCGAGCUACAUUGCAAAAGCUUUUAUCAGCUUGUGAUGAAGAAAAUUGAGGAUCCAACAUCCCGUCAACAGUUCUAUUCAAAGCGCAAGGAUACCAUCCUUAAGAAGUCCAAUGAGUUGGCUGUUUUAUGUGAUGUGGAUGUUGGUCUUCUAAUGUUUUCUCCAGCCGGCGAAGUGACUAGCUAUUCUAGCAAAGAACGUCUUGAGGAUGUCAUGCUCCUUGCUAUGAACAAGGCUGGUGAACUGAACAAGCUAUCUCCUGAAAAUCCAAAUGAACAGGCUUUGAUGGACUCUCUCACACAAUCAAAACAUGAAGCCGAAAUGGUGGAGAAGAUAGCGAUUGUUGAGGCUCAUGAGGAGAAGCUUAAUGGGGUCAAAGAAAGACUAAGUGAAGCACAACAGAAAAUAAGGUAUUACGAACCACAAGUGGAGAGUAUCAACUCUGUCCAAGAAGCUGAUGCAUAUGAGAAGUUCAUUUUGAGUGCUUUGGAGCUGAUUCAACUAUCAAAGGCAAAACUCUUGGGUGACCAGGAAUUUCUCCAGAGAAAUGAAAAUGUUGCGGUGUCUUCUGUCAACGCAGAGGCUAUGGCUGCUGAAGGAACUAGUGGGGGAUGGAUGUAUUGAGGAAACAGGCCAGAUCACGGCGGGGAAGUAGCUGCGGAUGUCCAACAGCUAUAGCAGGAAUAAUAGUUAUACUAGUUUAUAGGUUAAGAACUUAGCAGAAUAAAUAACUUGCCCCUAUCAGGCAAGCAAAAGUAUGAAUAAUGUUGCAUUUGUCUAUUGUGAAUGCAACUAUUUGAAUAUGGCAUCAAAACAUAGCUAUUGUGUUUUGAAAUAGAAAACAAUUUGGUUUGGG
rnacentral:misc_RNA from 1 species